CAUCUACUCUCUCCGUUCGGAAAUACUUGUCUUAGAAAUGGUUGUAUCUAGAACUAAAAUAAGUCUACAUACAACCAUUUCUAGGACAAGUAUUUCCGAACGGAGGGAGUAGCUG
rnacentral:pre_miRNA from 1 species